UACGUAGGGAGCGAGCGUUGUCCGGAUUUAUUGGGCGUAAAGAGCUCGUAGGCGGUUUGGUAAGUCGGGUGUGAAAGCUCCGGGCUCAACUCGGAGAGGUCACUCGAUACUGCCAUGACUGGAGUCCGGUAGGGGGGUGUGGAAUUCCCAGUGUAGCGGUGAAAUGCGCAGAUAUCGGGAGGAACACCUAUGGCGAAGGCAGCUCGCUGGGACGUUACUGACGCUGAGACGCGAAAGCGUGGGGAGCAAACAGG
rnacentral:rRNA from 1 species